AAAAAUUCAAAAACCUUUCAACUCUCUCUUCCCUCUCUCCCUUUCCGGCUGGGGGUGCGGUCAUCGGCCACCACGCCGGUCGUCGGCUGCCAUCGAUGGCGUCGCCAUCCGCGAUGCCGAGAAAACCAAAAUGCCCCAUUUUGCUCCUCUUUUCAGGUGUAGCCCAGAUUUGGGGUUAAAAUUACCCAAAAGACCCUCCAAGUUCUGUAAAACGAAGAGAAAAGAGAAGGACUUUUCGAUUUCCGUCACCCCCGAUAGAGAAACGCCCUCCGGCGAUGCGGUCACGGGGCGGCUCCGGUAAGCCUCUACUUCUUUUUGUUUAUUAUUUAGUAUAAAAGGAAAAAAAAUAAAAGAGAAAAAAAUCGAACAAGAAAUUAAAAAAAAUCACCUCUGAGAUCUAUUUUCUGUUUUUUUUAUUAAUCUUCGUAAAAAAUUACAAAGGGUGAAAUCUAGGCUUUUAUAGUUGAUCAAUUUUAGUCCAUUAUUGCUCGCAUGCUUCUAUUCUCUACUGUUGCAUUUAAUUUUUGCAGGUGUCAGACAAGCGUGACGAUGGCGUGCAGCGGCAGAAGCAGGUGUGAGGAGGCUGGCGGCUGGGGUCAAAAGACCU
rnacentral:lncRNA from 1 species